rnacentral:rRNA from 1 species
AAUAGAUACCCCGGUAGUCCACGCCCUAAACUAUGUCAACUAGUUGUCGGGGAAGAAAUUCCUUGGUAACGCAGCUAACGCGUGAAGUUGACCGCCUGGGGAGUACGGCCGCAAGGUUAAAACUCAAAGGAAUUGACGGGGACCCGCACAAGCGGUGGAUUAUGUGGAUUAAUUCGAUGCAACGCGAAAAACCUUACCUACCCUUGACAUGUACGGAAUUCCGCAGAGAUGUGGAAGUGCCCGAAAGGGAACCGUAACACAGGUGCUGCAUGGCUGUCGUCAGCUCGUGUCGUGAGAUGUUGGGUUAAGUCCCGCAACGAGCGCAACCCUUGCCAUUAGUUGCUACAUUCAGUUGGGCACUCUAAUGGGACCGCCGGUGACAAACCGGAGGAAGUGGGGAUGACGUCAAGUCCUCAUGGCCCUUAUGGGUAGGGCUUCACACGUAAUACAAUGGUCGGUACAGAGGGCUGCCAACCCGCAAGGGGGAGCUAAUCCCAGAAAGCCGAUCGUAGUCCGGAUUGUAGUCUGCAACUCGACUGCAUGAAGCCGG